rnacentral:tRNA from 1 species
GACUCCGUAGCUCAGUUGGAUAGAGCAGCCGCCUUCUAAGCGGCAGGUCGAAGGUUCGAGCCCUUCCGGAGUCGCCA